UAUUGCACAGGUAUACUAUUGCCCGAUUUAUUGCGGAUAGAUGGCGGCGAAAAAAAAACGGGUAUAAAUGAAAUUAACGUACGAAAAAAAAAAACCCCGAAAAAGUCAUAGUCAUAGUUCGAUCGGUCAAGUCGGCACGGCUGCACAAUGCCCACGAUAAAAUUACCUAUGAAAAACGGCUAUAUAUAUAAAUAUACAUAUUAUGCGGAACAAGUAAAAUCGUCAAAUCUCGCGGUUUAUUUAUUUCUAUAUUUCGUUUUUCUGUAUAUCUCCCUCUGAUCUGUUUCACUUUCGUUUAUUUAAAAAAAAAACUUACCUUCUAUAGAUUUAAUAUUAUAUUAUUUUAAUUCGGCAGAACGAUGAGGCGAGGAAUUUAUUGGUUUUAUACUAUGAUGAUGUGUGUGUAAUUUUGUUUGCGUGAAAACAACUUUUCUACCAAAAACUCAUUAUUGCUAUCAUCAACUUUAGAUGUGAUGUCUGAUAGCGGGCAUUGUCUAAUCAAUGCAUUGGCCGUUGGGAUGG